rnacentral:lncRNA from 1 species
GGCCAAGAUCUGAUGAUCAGAAUUGCUUCCGACUUGAUUUAGGAUGUUUUGAGGUGGGAUUCUUGCCGUUUGAUGGUGAUUGGACAGCAGGCAUGGGUUGAGGAGUUUGAACAUGAUUUAAAACCCAGUAUGACUUGAUUUCUACCCAAAUUGAAGCCUAUAAAAAGGGCCGACUGCAGGCAACAAAGGGGGGAAGCAACAGGCAGCCGUAGAAUUUCUUUUCUUUAUUUUUUAGAUUUUAGGAUUUGAG